rnacentral:rRNA from 1 species
CCUACGGGGGGCUGCAGUGGGGAAUAUUGGACAAUGGGGGGAACCCUGAUCCAGCCAUGCCGCGUGUGUGAAGAAGGCCCUCGGGUUGUAAAGCACUUUCAGUGAGGAAGAACGCCUGGUGGUUAAUACCCAUCAGGAAAGACAUCACUCACAGAAGAAGCACCGGCUAACUCCGUGCCAGCAGCCGCGGUAAUACGGAGGGUGCGAGCGUUAAUCGGAAUUACUGGGCGUAAAGCGCGCGUAGGUGGCUUGAUAAGCCGGUUGUGAAAGCCCCGGGCUCAACCUGGGAACGGCAUCCGGAACUGUCAAGCUAGAGUGCAGGAGAGGAAGGUAGAAUUCCCGGUGUAGCGGUGAAAUGCGUAGAGAUCGGGAGGAAUACCAGUGGCGAAGGCGGCCUUCUGGACUGACACUGACACUGAGGUGCGAAAGCGUGGGUAGCAAACAGGAUUGGAUACCCUUGUAGUC